rnacentral:rRNA from 1 species
GACGAACGCUAAAAGCGUGCUUAACACAUGCAAGUCGAACGGUGAAGCGCCUUCCUUAUUGGUGGGUGAGAAUGAGUGGCGAACGGGUGAGUAACACGUGAGUAACCUGCUCCCUUCUUCUGGAUAACCGCAUGAAAGUGUGGCUAAUACGGGAUAUUCUGGGUCUGUCGCAUGAUGGGUCUGGGACAGAUUUUGUUUCGGUGGGGGAUGGGCCCGCGGCCUAUCAGCUUGUUGGUGGGGUGAUGGCCUACCAAGGCGGUGAUGGGUAGCCGGCCUGAGAGGGUGGGCCGCCAGGGAAGGGAUACAAGCCCAACCCGACUACGGCGGGAAGCAGCAGGGAGGAAUCUGCAACGAGGGGAGGCCGGCCGGAGCAACGCCGCCGGGGUGAGGAUGGUCGUCUUAGGGUUAAACACCGCUUUCGGCAAUGAAGCAAGGCUGACUCGAUUGUGGGUGGGUUGACGGUAGCUGGAUAAGAAGCGCCGGCUAACUACGUG